rnacentral:rRNA from 1 species
UACGGGAGGCAGCAGUGGGGAAUAUUGCACAAUGGGCGCAAGCCUGAUGCAGCCAUGCCGCGUGUAUGAAAAAGGCCUUCGGGUUGUAAAGUACUUUCAGUCGUGAGGAAGGUGUUAAGGUUAAUAACCUUAGCAAUUGACGUUAGCGACAGAAGAAGCACCGGCUAACUCCGUGCCAGCAGCCGCGGUAAUACGGAGGGUGCGAGCGUUAAUCGGAAUUACUGGGCGUAAAGGGCACGCAGGCGGUUAAUUAAGUUGGAUGUGAAAUCCCCGGGCUUAACCUGGGAAUGGCAUUCAAGACUGGUCAGCUAGAGUCUUGUAGAGGGGGUAGAAUUCCAUGUGUAGCGGUGAAAUGCGUAGAGAUGUGGAGGAAUACCGGUGGCGAAGGCGGCCCCUGGGACAAAGACUGACGCUCAUGUGCGAAAGCGUGGGGAGCAAAC